CCCAUCUCAGGAUCACACCUGGAGAGUUUCCAGUACUCUACCAGUCUGGGCUACAGGAGGGAGAGUUGGCAGAGGCCUACCCAUUCCAUUUUUAGCUUGGGCAGUGGCUAGUAAGUGAAAGGCAAUCUACUACAAGU